rnacentral:rRNA from 1 species
GACGAACGCUGGCGGCGUGCUUAACACAUGCAAGUCGAACGGAAAGGCGCUGCUUUUGUGGGGUGCUCGAGUGGCGAACGCGUGAGUAACACGUGAGUAACCUGCCCUUGACUGUGGGAUAACUUCAGGAAACUGGGGCUAAUACCGGGUAGGAGCUCCUGCUGCAUGGGGGGGGUUGGAAAGUUUCGGCGGUUGGGGAUGGACUCGCGGCUUAUCAGCUUGUUGGUGGGGUAGUGGCUUACCAAGGCUUUGACGGGUAGCCGGCCUGAGAGGGUGAACGGCGACAUGGGGACUGAGAUACGGCGCAGACGGCUACGGGAGGCAGCAGUGGGGAAUAUUGCACAAUGGGCGGAAGCCUGAUGCAGCAACGCCGGGUGCGGGAUGACGGCCUUCGGGUUGUAAACCGCUGUCGCCUGUGACGAAGCGUGAGUGACGGUAAUGGGUAAAGAAGCACCGGCUAACUACGUG